rnacentral:rRNA from 1 species
CGCUAUCAGAUGAGCCUAGGUCGGAUUAGCUAGUUGGUGGGGUAAAGGCCUACCAAGGCGACGAUCCGUAACUGGUCUGAGAGGAUGAUCAGUCACACUGGAACUGAGACACGGUCCAGACUCCUACGGGAGGCAGCAGUGGGGAAUAUUGGACAAUGGGCGAAAGCCUGAUCCAGCCAUGCCGCGUGUGUGAAGAAGGUCUUCGGAUUGUAAAGCACUUUAAGUUGGGAGGAAGGGCAGUAAGUUAAUACCUUGCUGUUUUGACGUUACCAACAGAAUAAGCACCGGCUAACUUCGUGCCAGCAGCCGCGGUAAUACGAAGGGUGCAAGCGUUAAUCGGAAUUACUGGGCGUAAAGCGCGCGUAGGUGGUUCAUCAAGUUGGAUGUGAAAUCCCCGGGCUCAACCUGGGAACUGCAUCCAAAACUACUGAGCUAGAGUACGGUAGAGGGUGGUGGAAUUUCCUGUGUAGCGGU